rnacentral:rRNA from 1 species
GUGCCAGCAGCCGCGGUAAUACGAAGGGUGCAAGCGUUAAUCGGAAUUAUUGGGCGUAAAGCGUGCGCAGGCGGUUUUGUAAGACAGAUGUGAAAUCCCCGGGCUUAACCUGGGAACUGCAUUUGUGACUGCAAGGCUAGAGUACGUCAGAGGGGGGUAGAAUUCCACGUGUAGCAGUGAAAUGCGUAGAUAUGUGGAGGAACACCGAUGGCGAAGGCAAUCCCCUGGGCCUGCACUGACGCUCAUGCACGAAAGCGUGGGGAGCAAACAGGAUUAGAUACCCUGGUAGUCCACGCCCUAA